UGGCACUGACCGACCGACAAGAGUAUCUUCCUGCACGGCAAAAAUUUUUGGAUCAACGGUUGACUUGGAGCCCAACAGGCAACAGUAGCCAGUUUUGGAUCAACGGUUGACUUGGAAGCCAACAGUAGCCUCUUGGUGCUGUACUGCUUUUUAGUUGGAUCGUUUCGCGGGAUUACAACGUUUGCGUUGUUCAUUACUUGUUUGCAGCAUUGUGUGAUGGGUGUCAAUUGAUUGCGUUGUUUAUUGUUUGUUUUGUCGCACAGGGUGAUGGGUUGGCAUGGGAACGGAUAUGAAGAAUAAACAGCACAUUUCCAUACAAAAUGUGCCCAAGUUAAAGUUCUGAAUCGGAAUGAUUCAGCAGUACGUUCUCGGUGCUCCAGUACUCUACCAUAGCACUGCUUGCUACAAAAGGCACGGCAAGACCAAAAGCAAAGCGCAGUUUUUUUUAAAAAAAAAAGAUGCGUAAGAGAUUCUUGAGGCAUCAAAACUACUCCAACAUAUCUCACCACCAAUAUACCAUGCAAGCUAAUAGGUAAACACUAUCUUUGACAGUUUUACAGACACAGCAGACGCUGAUGCAUUCUUGCGAAGGGCGCUCGCAAGUUACAAGUGCUACAGCGCACUUGCAAAAUUCGCAAGAUUGCAUUUGCGGACCACAAUUGUCGCAGGUAACAAUGCCUGAUUGCUCUCUGAUAAUAUUGAACCAAAACCGCUUACUUCGGGUAGUAAAUCGAUUGGCCAGCUGGUGGUGCGUGCGGCGGAGCACCAGGGGGCAUGCUAUACUGUGUCAUCUGCUGCGAAGCCUGAAAUGCUACUGGUGGGGCACCGGAACUCGAUCCAAU
rnacentral:lncRNA from 1 species